GACGAACGCUGGCGGCGUGCUUAACACAUGCAAGUCGAACGGAAAGGCCCCUUUUGUGGUACUUGCGUGGCGAACGGGUGAGUAACACGUGCGUAACCUGCCCUUGCCUUCGGGAUAACUUCAGGAAACUGGGGCUAAUACCGGCUAGGAAUCCUUUCUGCAUGGUGGGUGUUGGAAAGCUUCGGCGGUUUUGGAUGGACUCGCGGCUUAUCAGCUUGUUGGUGGGGUAGUGGCUUACCAAGGCUUUGACGGGUAGCCGGCCUGAGAGGGCGACCGGCCACAUUGGGACUGAGAUACGGCCCAGACUCCUACGGGAGGCAGCAGUGGGAAUAUUGCACAAUGGGCGGAAGUCUGAUGCAGCAACGCCGCGGUGGGGAUGACGGCCUUCGGGGUGGAAAACGCUUUCAGCAGGGGCGAAGCUUGUGGUGACGGUACCUGCAGAAGAAGCACCGGCUAACUACGUG
rnacentral:rRNA from 1 species